rnacentral:rRNA from 1 species
UCUCUUCGGGGAUGAUUAAACCGGCGCACGGGUGAGUAACACGUGAGUGACCUGCCUUUUAGACUGGAACAACUUACCGAAAGGUGAGCUAAUGCCGGAUGAGUUAUAUAAGUGCAUGUUUAUAUAGGAAAAGUUGGGGAGACCUGACGCUGAAAGAUGGACUCGCGUCCCAUUAGCUAGUUGGUAGGGUAAUGGCCUACCAAGGCGACGAUGGGUAGCCGGCCUGAGAGGGUGGCCGGCCACACUGGGACUGAGACACGGCCCAGACUCCUACGGGAGGCAGCAGUGGGGAAUUUUGCGCAAUGCUCGUAAGAGUGACGCAGCGACGCCGCGUGAAUGACGAAGGCCUUCGGGUCGUAAAGUUCUUUCGACAGGGAAGAAAAUGCCUAUAAGUAACUGUGUAUGUAUUGACGGUACCUGUAUAAGCAGCCCCGGCUAACUCCGUGCCAGCAGCCGCGGUAAUACGGAGGGGGCGAGCGUUGUUCGGAGUGACUGGGCGUAAAGAGCACGUAGGCGGUGUUGUAAGUCAUUAGUCAAAGACUAGAGCUCAACUUUAGUAAGGCUAGUGAUACUAUAAUACUAGAGUAUCAGAGAGGAUUGCAGAAUUCCUGGUGUAGCGGUGAAAUGCGUAGAUAUCAGGAGGAAUACCGUUAGCGAAGGCGGCAAUCUGGCUGGAAACUGACGCUGAGGUGCGAAAGCGUGGGUAGCAAACAGGAUUAGAUACCCUGGUAGUC